GGGCGUGUGGUGUAGUGGUAUCACUCAUGCUUUGCAUCGCGCUUUGCGAUUAUGCUUACGUAAUCAUAUUACGUACAACUGUAUGCGGUCCAGGGUUCAAACCCCUGCGCGUCCA